rnacentral:tRNA from 1 species
UCCCCUGUAGCUCAAUGGUAGAGCGCGCGACUGUUAAUCGCUAGGUUCGAGGUUCGAGUCCUCGCGGGGGAGCCA